GGAAGUUCAAGUCUUCCCAGGCCCACCAUAUUUGCGCGCUUUGCUUUCAAGGCUGCUGCUCGCGUCACGACAUCGCAUCUGCAAAACGCGCCAUUCAGCGUUGAGCAUUCGUCUUCUGGAACGGGGGCAUAGCUCAGCUGGGAGAGCGCGUGCUUUGCAAGCAUGAGGUCGUCGGUUCGAUCCCGUCUGCCUCCACCAGAAACUUCUGAUGGAUGGCGACGUUGAGAUCGUAACAAACAUUCAGUGUGUUCAGACGGUGCGCGCCACAUGGGCAGCGCCUGAUUUAGUCCGCGGUAUAACUUCGCUUGUCGGUCUUACGAGAUCGACUGCGGGAUUUAUGACAUCGUAAAGAGGAGAUCGUUCCGAGGUUCGGAUCUGCAAGCAAUUGCGGGUGCCGCAAUCAUAAUCUCCAGGAAUUGAGUGCGAACGCUUUGCUUGCAAAGCUUCCGCAUCUUUAUUCCUUUUCAACGAAGCUUGACCGCCUCGUUGUCGGUUCGAUCUUACGAAGCAAACUGGUCUUUCUAAAUCAUAUCCAGCUGCAUGAAGUGCGCACGGCUUGACCGCCGGCGUGCGGAUUUUGCGUUUCCAAUUCGUUGGUUAUGCCAAGCAGCGUGCAGCAAACUCUGCCGAGUGUGUGGAUAUUGAUAAUGAGAGCAAUCAAGUGUCUUAAGGGUAUUCGGUGGAUGCCUUGGCAAUGAGAGGCGAUGAAGGACGUGCUACGCUGCGAUAAGCUAUGGGGAGCCGCGAAGAGGCUUUGAUCCAUAGAUUUCC
rnacentral:misc_RNA from 1 species